rnacentral:rRNA from 1 species
CAGCAGCCGCGGUAAUACGUAGGUGGCAAGCGUUGUCCGGAAUUAUUGGGCGUAAAGCGCGCGCAGGUGGUUUAAUAAGUCUGAUGUGAAAGCCCACGGCUCAACCGUGGAGGGUCAUUGGAAACUGUUAAACUUGAGUGCAGGAGAGAAAAGUGGAAUUCCUAGUGUAGCGGUGAGAUGCGUAGAGAUUAGGUGGAACACCAGUGGCGAAGGCGGCUUUUUGGCCUGUAACUGACACUGAGGCGCGAAAGCGUGGGGAGCAAACAGGAUUAGAUACCCGUGUAGUCCCUGUCUCUUAUAC